rnacentral:lncRNA from 1 species
GGCGGCCGCGGCUCCGCCCCGGGUUCCCACCGCCUGAAGGGCGAGACAAGCCCGACCUGCUACAGGUGUGGAAACAGGAAGAGAACUAGAACUGGAAGUAAAGCAUUGAAGAUGUGACUGAAUUGCUGCAAUCUCAUGAUCAAAUUUGAAUGGAUGAGGAGUUGCUUUUUAGGGAUGAGCAAAGAAAGUGGUUUCUCGAGAUGGAAUCUACUGGUGAAGUUGCUGUGAACAUUGUUAAAAUGCCAAUAAAGGAUUUAGGAAUUACAGAAACCUGGUUGAUAAAGCAGUGCCAGGGUGUGAGAGAGUUGACUUCAAUUUUGAAAUAAGUUCCACUGGCUGGGUGUGGUGGCUCACACCUGCAAUCCCAGUACUUUAGGAGGCCGAGACUGGUAGAUCAUUUGAGGUCAGGAGUUCAAGACCAGCCUUGCCAACAUGGUGAAACCCCACCUCUACCAAAUUAGCCAGGUGUGGUGCACACCUGUAGUCCCAGCUACUUGGGAAGCUGAGGCAG